rnacentral:rRNA from 1 species
UACGUAGGUGGCAAGCGUUGUCCGGAUUUAUUGGGUUUAAAGGGUGCGUAGGCGGUCUAUUAAGUCAGUGCUGAAAUAUCCCGGCUUAACCGGGAGGGUGGCAUUGAUACUGAUGGACUUGAGUAAAGUUGAGGUUGGCGGAAUUGACGGUGUAGCGGUGAAAUGCUUAGAUAUCGUCAAGAACACCUAUUGCGAAGGCAGCUAACUAAGCUUAAACUGACGCUGAGGCACGAAAGCGUGGGGAGCGAACAGG